AAAGCUACGACACUUAACUUGGAACGGAGGAUUUAUGAAAUAAAUUUCUAAUGAAUCGAAACCUGUCCGUCUUCAGCAUAACACAUAUUCGCAUGCAUUAUUUGUUCAUAUCGCAGCUUUGAUUCCAGCAAUUCUUUGAAACUUUUCUAUAACUUCCCUUUUUUUUCCUUCUACUAGAAAAAAUAUGUUGAUCCUUCUCCGAGGCUUAAUAAGUUGUGGGAGACGAUAGACCAAAAGCUUGCUGAACAAGAAAAGCUUUGCAAAGAUACAGUCGCAAUGUUUCAAAGAGGCUCGGAGAAAUGCGAUAGGCAAACGAAGGCAUGUGGCUAUGCGGCUUAUGCCUUCAUGGCACUCCUGGUGCUUAGGCCCCCUCUGUUUUAGGCGUCCCUCCCAUGUGGUUAUGAUGAUUACUAUACUAUAUUUUUAGGAUAACUUAUCAGUUGUAAGUGACAUGAAUUGACUAGUGUAAUCGUAAGAACCCGUUUUCUGCUGUGUA